rnacentral:rRNA from 1 species
CCUACGGGUGGCAGCAGUGAGGAAUAUUGGUCAAUGGGCUUACGCCUGAACCAGCCAAGUCGCGUGAGGGAAGACUGUCCUAUGGGUUGUAAACCUCUUUUGUCAGGGAGCAACGCCGGCUACGUGUAGCCGGACUGAGAGUACCUGAAGAAAAAGCAUCGGCUAACUCCGUGCCAGCAGCCGCGGUAAGACGGAGGAUGCGAGCGUUAUCCGGAUUUAUUGGGUUGAAAGGGGGCGUAGGUUGGUUUUUAAGUCAGCGGUGAAAGUUUGUGGCUCAACCAUAAAAUUGCCGUUGAAACUGGAAGACUUGAGUGUGUUUGAGGUAGGCGGAAUGCGUGGUGUAGCGGUGAAAUGCAUAGAUAUCACGCAGAACUCCGAUUGCGAAGGCAGCUUACUAAGCCAUAACUGACACUGAGGCACGAAAGCGUGGGGAUCAAACAGGAUUAGAUACCCCAGUAGUC